CAACGUUGAAGUUGACGCUGAUCUUGGUAAUACAUUUGCAGAGCGUGCUGAUCAUCAGACGUGGAUAAUGGUGGGGUUUUGUUUUUUAUCUAAGACAGGGUGUCUGUUCCCCAGGCUGGAGUGCGGUGGCACUUCCAACUUAGAUCUCUUGGGUUCAAGUGGCCCUCUUUUUGGGACAGAGUCUCACUCUGUGGCCCUGGCUGGAGUGCAGUGGCAGGAACUUGGCUCACUGCAAUCUCUGCCUCCUGGGUUCAAGCAAUUCUCCUGCCUCAGCCUCCGGAGCAGCUGGGGUUACAGGCUGUGCCACCAUGCCCAGCUAACUUUUGCAUUUUUAUUAUUGAUUUAUUGAUUUAUUUUUGAGACAGGGUCUGGCUCUGUCACCCAGGCUAUAGGGCAGUGGUGCGAUCUCGGCUCACUGCAACCUCCACCUCCCACCUCAGCCUCCUGAAUACCUGUCUCCAGGCAUGCACUACCACACCUGCCUAACUUUUGUAUUUUUUGUAUAGAUGAGGUUUCACCAUGUUGCCCAGGCUGGUCUCGGACCCUUGAGCUCAAUUGCUCCUCCCGCCUGGGCCUCCAAAACUGCUGUGAUUAAUGGUGUGAGCAAGCGUGCCCUACUCUUGUGUGUUUCUGCUCAAAUUUUAUGGAGGAGCUUUUACAUCCCAGCCUGUGGUCUAUCCUGGAGAAUGUUUGUGUGUGUGACAAUGUAUAUUCUUCAACAUUUUAGAUUCCAUUUGGAUGCUCCCAUCCGGACUGUGUGCCCCUGUACUGGAACUCAAGUGAACACUUGGCUCAACAUCCAUUGCUGUUCUCAUGAAUUCCAGGCCAAUUGUCUUGGUUAAAGACAAGACGGUGUUUCCCUCUUGUUGCCCAGGCUGGAGUGCAAUGGCAUGAUCUCGGAUCACUGCAACCUCCACCUCCCUGGUUCAAGCGAUUCUCCUGCCUCAGCCUCCCGAGCAGCUGGGAUUACAGGCAUGCAUCACCACGCCCGGCUAAUUCUUUGUAUUUUUAGUAGAGAUGGGAUUUCUCCAUGUUGGUCAGGCUGAUCUUGAACUCCCAACCUUAGGUGAUCCACCCACCUCGGCCUCCCAAAGUGCUGGGAUUACAGGCAUGAGCCAUUGUGCCCGGCCCAUUUCAUUUAUUUUUAUGUGUGCUGCUGAAGCAAGCACUUAUGUGUAGGAAUUGUUCUUCCUGUGAGCAUAUGUUGGCCAGCCUGGACCACAUACCAAGAUCCCAUCUCUUUAAAAACACAGAUUACGUGGCACCUGGCACCUGGUCCCAGAGACUUCAUUUGGGUUGGUCAUUUGAAACACUAGCCUCCCAUCAAUUUAGUGUAAUCAAUCCAAAUCAUGUGUCCUUCAUUAAGAGACUAAGAACGCCUCCACGUCUAUCCAGUCUAUUUUGUAAUCCCCAACGGUUGUCAAUAUUAAUAAAAUUUCUUUUCUUUUUCCUAUUCAUUUGUGUCUUUAGUUUUUCUUCCCCAAAAACUUGCCAUCAUUUCUCGGAAUAGACCUGCUUUCUCUGCAGGAAGGGUGUGGUUGAUUCAACCCUUACCCACUAAUGCCAACCCCAG
rnacentral:lncRNA from 1 species